rnacentral:tRNA from 1 species
GGCAACGUGGCGUAAUCGGACAACGCAUCGGCGUACAUAGCCUGAAGCUCGCUGGUUCGAAUCCAGCCGUUACCC